rnacentral:rRNA from 1 species
CGGCAACAGCUCAAAUUUGAAAUCUGGCUCCCUUGCGGGGCCCGAGUUGUACUUUGCAGAGGAUGCUUCCGGUGCGGCGCCGUCCGAGUUCCCUGGAACGGGACGCCACAGAGGGUGAGAGCCCCGUCUGGUCGGAUGCCAAACCCAUGUGAAGCUCCCUCGACGAGUCGAGUAGUUUGGGAAUGCUGCUCUAAAUGGGAGGUAUAUGUCUUCUAAAGCUAAAUAUUGGCCAGAGACCGAUAGCGCACAAGUAGAGUGAUCGAAAGAUGAAAAGCACUUUGAAAAGAGGGUUAAACAGUACGUGAAAUUGUUGAAAGGGAAGCGCUCGUGACCAGACUUGGGCGCGGCGGAUCAUCCGGCGUUCUCGCCGGUGCACUCCGCCGCACCCGGGCCAGCAUCAGCUCGCUGCGGGGGACAAAGACGUCGGGAACGUGGCUCCCUCGGGAGUGUUAUAGCCCGGCGUGUAAUGCUCCGUGGCGGGCUGAGGUUCGCGCGUCCGCAAGGAUGCUGGCGUAAUGGUUACCAGUGACCCGUCUUGAAACACGGACCAAGGAGUCGUCCUCGUAUGCGAGUGUUCGGGUGUCAAACCCCUACGCGCAAUGAAAGUGAACGCUGGUGAGAGCUUCGGCGCAUCAUCGACCGAUCCUGAUGUUCUCGGAUGGAUUUGAGUAGGAGCAUACGGGGCCGGACCCGAAAGAAGGUGAACUAUGCCUGUGUAGGGUGAAGCCAGAGGAAACUCUGGUGGAGGCUCGCAGCGGUUCUGACGUGCAAAUCGAUCGUCAAAC